UACGUAGGGCGCAAGCGUUAUCCGGAAUUAUUGGGCGUAAAGAGCUCGUAGGCGGUUUGUCGCGUCUGCCGUGAAAGUCCGGGGCUCAACUCCGGAUCUGCGGUGGGUACGGGCAGGCUAGAGUUCGGUAGGGGAGACUGGAAUUCCUGGUGUAGCGGUGAAAUGCGCGGAUAUCAGGAGGAACACCGGUGGCGAAGGCGGGUCUCUAGUACGGUACUGACGCUGAGACGCGAAAGCGUGGGGAGCGAACAGG
rnacentral:rRNA from 1 species